rnacentral:tRNA from 2 species
GGCCGGGUAGCUCAAUGGUAGAGCGUCUGACUCCGAAGCGAUCAGUAUCAUUAUAGUAUCAUUAUCCCGGAGUCAGAAGGUGUAGGUUCGAGUCCUGCCCUGGCUA